UACGUAGGAUGCAAGCGUUGUCCGGAAUUAUUGGGCGUAAAGAGUUCGUAGGUGGUUAUCUAAGUCUGGUGUUAAAGACGGGAGCUCAACUCCCGCAUGGCAUCGGAAACUGGAUGGCUAGAGUGUGAAAGAGGUAACUGGAAUUCCUAGUGUAGCGGUGAAAUGCGCAGAUAUUAGGAGGAACACCUGUGGCGAAAGCGAGUUACUGGUUCAUUACUGACACUGAGGAACGAAAGCUAGGGUAGCAAAAGGG
rnacentral:rRNA from 2 species